rnacentral:rRNA from 1 species
CCCUUAGAUGUCUUGGGCCGCACGCGCGCUACACUGACAUGUUCAACAAGCCUCCUAGUUCGACAGGAUUUGGGAAAUCUUUGAACGCAUGUCGUGAUAGGGAUAGAUCAUUGCAAUUAUUGAUCUUGAACGAGGAAUUCCUAGUAAACGCGAGUCAUCAGCUCGCAUUGAUUACGUCCCUGCCCUUUGUACACACCGCCCGUCGCACCUACCGAUUGAAUGUUUCGGUGAAGAUUCCGGAUAGGACUUUUUUGAUUUAUUUCAAUUCUGUCUUAAAAGCUAUCUAAACCUCAACAUUUAGAGGAAGGUGAAGUCGUAACA